rnacentral:pre_miRNA from 1 species
CUGGAGCUGCUGGGCUUCUUGCAAGAUGAAGGUAAUCUAGGGGAUGUAGGAGCUUGUGUUUUGGAAUGUUCUCCGAUUCUUAAAUGAGCAAAGGGUGUUAUGUAAUGGUGAAGACAAGUAAAUAAUUUAGUAUGUCGGAGGCUGAAAGCCACUUUGUUCUCCAAGUGGCAUAGGAGAACAAUCAAUAUACCAUUGCAAUACACCUUUUGCCAACUUAAGCAUCGGAGAGCGUCUUGGAGUAAAAGCUCCAAUGCCGCCCUAUGUCACCUACAUCUUGCAGGAAGCCCUGCAGCUCCAGU